AGCACAAACAUCUUCAAAGUAAGUCCGCUUCCCCAGUUUUAAACCAAUCAUUGCUUCACCAGAGCCAUCAGAAGUCCCUACAGUUGGACAAUUUCCACUACUGCCCACUCUUAUCAACUCUUUGUUCUCACUAAAAUCUUUAUGAAAAUCUUCAACAUUCCUAAAUUUCUUUAUUCCCUCUUUCAACGAAGAAUCACCUGAAACAGAGAUGGAGCUCCUGGAAGAAGAGCCAUGACCCAAAUCAGAACCAGAGAAGCCACCACCUCCAGAUGAGUAUACAGAUCCAUUAUCCACCCCUCCAUCUACUUCAAUAUCAUGGUUUGACAGUUGUACCCGCCCAGGAAAUUCGAAAGCCUUAGUAUUAAACGCUGUUAGGGUCUCCCAGUCCCAUUCUGAGGGAGUUCUUAAAUUCCACUCCAUCACAGAAAGAAACCUCAUGAAAAGAAUUCAAACAGCAUCUUCCCCAUAGAAUGCACAAAGCGUCUCUAUUGAACACCAGUUACUGCAUGCAUAAGCUAACAUAAGUUCAAAAUCCGUAACUAUCUACAUAAAGGCUUAAAAAAUUAAUCUAAUCAUAUGAAUGAGAUUGAGCAAAAAAUUCUGGAAGCAGUCACAAAUCACAACACUGAUCAGACAUGCUCUAAAACAAAGAUAAUAACAAAAGUGACAAAACAUUCCAAAAGGACAACCACAAAAAGAUUAUGUAAGCAUUUAAUAAGCAUGUCUGUUAUCCAUCAGGAUCAAAAAUCUAAAGCUAAACUAAUGCAGUGGUUACCUUCAAACUUAAAGCUUGGAAUUGUAGAGUUUGUCUGAGCUCCUCCUGUUUAGCAGCAACAAAAACAGUAGGUAGGAAGUCUUUUUGGUGUUGCCGCAGACAGAUUAAGUCCCUUGUUCCUUGAGCAGCUAAGCCUAGUAGACAUCCAUGGAUACUUCUAAAGCCAAAUGAUGCAGAUAAAGAGAACAGAAACUGAACAAGAACAAAAGGUGUCACUUUCAGGCCAUUGGUUUUCUUAGAUUUUUAGUAUCCCUCACCAUCCAACAAAUAAGUGGUACUCAAUCUGUCAGACACCUCCAUGUGGAUUCUUCUCAGUUCCUAUUUUUUCCAAGACAAAAACGACACCACAUGCCAUCGAAAUGGUCCUGCCACCUCAUCACCCACAAAGUCACCACUCAACACAAAACAACCUUGGCCCCACCGAAUCACAAAAUCUCAGCAGUCCUGCUCAAGCAUCACUAGCCUUUCACACACACACACAGAGACAGAGAGAGAGAGAGGUUUAAUUCACUUGCAGUUUUGCAGUAAUUGUGUCAGACUAUUUCACCACAGAAAUUUGCAAGCAAAAGAGCAACCAUUUCUUGGAAAAUUACCUUCAUCUAGAUAUAGAUUUGACGUACAUCAUCAAAGGGCUGCCUGACACUAGGAUAUAAACACACGUCUGCUAAAGAGGUUACUUUCUCAAUUAAAAACCACCCAGAAAGAAGCAGUUGCAGGCAUUGACAUCAGAAGCUUUCACCAACUUCCAUCACCACCUCAUAGUUGCAAUUAAUCAGUUUGCCACUUCCCUUUCAAUAAUUAUCAGGCAAACUUCAAUCACACUUACUGCUCUGAGAUUGAUAGGUAGGCAAUUCUAAAGUUGCAAAAGCCUCAUAAACCUUUUCACAGUGUGAUGAUUCAAAAAGCUCGCGCAUAUACAAGUAAAAGAUAUGAGUCCAUGGAUUCGGCUUUCCUUUGUUUGUUUAUGUGUUAAAAGCAAAGCCAAAAUCCAAGGGCCACCAGUGAGCUUUUCAAAUCAUUACCUUCUCCAAACUGAUUUCACAAACAGAGUUGGGUGGAUAAAGUCCCAAUUAAACCUGGGAAAAGGAAACAUACAAACACACACAGAUUUUAAUAACAUGGAUAUCCCCUCUUUGACUGCUAUGCCAAUCAACCUAAAGCAUAAGUGACUGGUCCAUUUCAUCUUAAAACCUAAACCCAUCUCUCUUCCACCCAAUUAUGCAACAAAGGCAUGUUCAUUUAUUAAAAACAAUCACUUUAUAAAUUGUUUCCACCUAAUCUUCUAAAUCAACCAUUUCCCAAAAGGAUCUAAGUGCAAUUGACCCAGAGAAACGAUCAUCAGUAUUAAAUUUAAAUUUUUAUGGUUCACUAAAAUAAAAAUUUAAAUUUAAAUUUUUAACAUGACAAGAUACAUUUUUCUUUUUCUCUUGGAGAAGCUAACCAAAAUGAUGUGAUAAAAUAUCCGUUAAGUUAGAUGGAGCCUCCAAUAAAGGAAAACUGCUCCCAACGACACAAAAAAACUCUUCUUAACAACUCGAGUUCCUGCUACCAUUUCCAUUUUCUAGAGAAAGACAAAACACAUUAAUUAAAGCAGUCACUGCCUUAUAAUCCAAAAUAAAUAAAGAUACAAUUUCUUUUCCACCAUUCCUCAAAUUUCCCAGUGGAAAGUGGGAUAUUGGCAGAGCUGGCUUUUCCGGUUAGCUUACUUCCGCAGCAGCUUCAAACGGCCUUGGAAGCACCAAAAACAAAAAACAAAAAACAAAAACAAACAAAAGGUAGCUGUGGCCAAAAUAGCCUUUCCCCUUUUAUAACCCUUUUCCCGUUUAUAGAAAAAAGAGAAAAUCUUAGGGUUUCAUUCAGCUAGCAUUCAGAAACAAUAAAGAAAACAAAAAAAUUUAAAACACAAUCAAAGUAAAGAUACUAAAUCUAGGGUUAGGGGUAGCAUUAAGGUUUGGGUUCUAACAUCAGAAAAAAUUGCAGAAACAAUAGUAUUUAAAAAGAAAAAAUAAAAACAAAAGCAAUCUUUCCCUCACUGAUUCAAUCAUGAAAAAUCCAUUUCUGACUUUACCAAAUCCAGAAAUACAAAAGGGGAAAGAUAGAGAGCAAUAAAUUGGGGAUUCAGAGGAGACUUACCCUAGUGGAGGUGAUGGAGUAGGCGAGUGGACUCGGAGGGAUUGGUUACAGUAUCAUCUAUUCUAAAAUAUCAUAUACAUAAUAAUUACACAGAAUUGGAAAGAAAGUAAAAGGAGAGGAGAAGAGAGGGCAUGACCACAGAUUUGUUGCUAUUUAUAGAAUUCAAUCCGCCAUUAUUAUUAGGGUUUGGGUCUCCCUACACCUAUAUUGCAGCCACCUAUCUGUGCACUGUAUGCCCUUGCCAUCCACGGACCAUUUUUGCCAUCUGGCAUGUCUUACUUCUCUUUUCCAUAAAUACCCUGAUCUUCUAGAAACUACCUGCGCACCACUUCGCCCACAAUUACUCUUCCACUAGUGCUUCAACCAAUGGUGAAUCAUAUCAUGAGGAUAAAGUUGUAAAGUUGCAGGAUUGAACCAUGUACUUUCUUUUGUCUUUAAAAAUAAUAAUAAAUAAAUAAAGAAGAAACCUGCACCGUAAGAAAACAAUCCUAAUACAUUGGUAAAUUAUUUUGAAUGUCUAGGCUAAGUUUUUCUUUCCAUAUAAUUAAAAUUUUGUAAAUUUUUUUAUUAGACAAAAAUAAAACUUCAAAUCAGGCAAUAAUCUUUAAAAAUAAUUUGAAGCCCAAAUUUGAUCAAAUUAAUAUCAUAAAUUUAUGAAUAAAAAUUGGUAUAAAAUGACUCUAUUGUUUCUAAUAUACCUAAAAUCAUAAAUUUUUUUUUCAUUUUUUUUAGCUAGAUAAACAAAUCUCAAAUUAAACAAGACUUAAUGUGUUAAAUUCAUUAAUGAGUCCAAUAAUUUUGAAAAAUAACUUAAAACUCAAAUAGUGAUCCAAUAAUCUAAAAAACUUAUGAACAAAAUGUUAGCUUUUUUCCUAUAACAUGUGGUCAUAUAUAAUUAUAUUUGUGUAAAUAUUAUUUUAAAGUAUCAAUUGAUAGGUAGGUGAAUCAAUUGAUUGAGUAUCCAAGAGUUUUAUAUAUGGAAGACUCAAAUUAUAAAUGGGGAGUUAGAAAAUUUUAUUUAUAUGAAUGUAGUGUUACAAUUUUUGUAAUCUCAUCAUUAUGAAAUUUAAUUUGUACAUUAUGUUUAUGAAUAAUGGAAGAAAAUGGAAAAGUAUAACUUAUGCAAUUAUAUAGAUGCAUUCAAGUUAAUAACCUACCAUUACCCAUAAAUUUAUACAUAAUGGUUAUAAAUAAUGAGUAUAACUCUCAUAUAGUCUUUGAUGGGAAGACUAAGAAAUAUACAUCUUUUAAUAAGUUAAGGUCUUAAGUCACACUCUCAUUCUUAUGUCCUUUUGUUGUUUUAUUUUUUAACAACAUACACUACACUAGUGUCUCAUCCACUAUAUGAGAGUAAUGAAUUGAAGACCUUGACAAUACAAUUCACUAGGUGACUCAAUCUCACUUCAAAAGUGUUAUUGAUAUCAUGAAUCAAAGUAAGAAUAUGAUCAUUAUUUUAGUACUUAUAUUUAUUUUGUUUUAUGCAUCCAAAAUUAUUUUUUAAAAUAAUUAUUUCCUCAUAAAAUUUAUAAAAGUUUGGUUAACACAAAAAUUGGUCUAAAGUAAUAGGGAAACUCAAAUUACUUCAUUUCCUAACCUUAGAUCUCAUAAGGCACAUGCAAUCUAUUCCUAGGCUUCUUUAGAUCUAAAUGCAAAAGAAAAAAAAAAGAAUCAAAACUAAUAUAACAUGGAUCUAAAGAUAAAAACAUAAUAUUUGUGAUUUAGAUAUUCUCAAAUCGAUUCUGAUAUGAUAAAAUAAACCAUAGGCAUUCUAUAUCUCAUAUAUCCAGGGAUCUUUUGUUUGAUUACUCCUUUCAUUGAUCUUUGGUGCAAGAAAAGGGUUGUCUUCUCUAGAAAAAGGCUAGGGUUUUCUUUUCUAGAGUUUGGAAGACAAUGGCCAAGAAGUUUAACCCUAAAUCCCUAAGAGGGUUUAUAUAAGCUUUCUUGCAAGAGUUGAGAUAUGCCAUAAAUUUCUCAACUACAUUAGCUAACAAAACAAAACAACUAACUCCUAAAAAUACAAAAACAAACUGAGAAAAUAAAGGGCUAAUCUAAAUAGAUAAAAACACCCAAUGGGGGGGGGGAGGGGGUGAAUUGGAGUUAAAAAAAAAUUAAAAUACAAUAAAAUUAAGCACAAGAAGCACAAAUAUAAAGAGAUAAGGAUAUAGAAAGCAAACUCAGAUUUAUAGUGGUUCGACACUUCCUUGCCUACAUCCACUCUCCUCAAGCUCCUAACCGAGUGAGGGUUCCACUUAUAUUUGAAGCUUUAACCAAGCUUCUAAUCACUUUUUACACUUGGGUUCUGGCUUCAAUGGGUUCUUACACAAUCUCUUUAAGUCUCUACUCACUUAAAGGUUUUAACACUCAAUUGACAAGUUUGAAUCUCUCAACCUAUCUCAACAAUGGUUCAAAUACAACUCAAUGCUAGGAUAAAUCACAAAGGUGCACUAAAGAAUAUGCAAAUGAAGAUUUAAUGCACCAAGAAAAGAAUGAGAGUUUUUAAGGCAAGAACAAGUAGGUAAACAAAUAAAUGCAAGUGUUCUAUUUUUCAUAAAUGAAGUGAAACUCUCAAUUUAUAGGUUUUUAACCUCGGGAGCUAAAAAACCAAAAAAUAGCCUCGACCAAUUGAGUUGGGGGUCGACCGAUUCACUAGUCGCUGAAGUAUUAAAUGCUUGGCAGGUGACCGUUACCCUUAACCGGGAAGGCAAAUCCCUCGACCGAGAAAUAAAGGUUAUUGGAAGAGAAAGAAGAUUUUUUCAUCUCUUGAUCGGAAAUGAGUAACCGGUCGAUCGGUACCCUAGCCAGUUGAGCUGGUUGGCCAGUGUCUCGACAGGUUCACCAUUUUUGGCCCAAAAACCUAUCUUUUUAUGGUCUUUUUGCUUCUAGCACUUAGGCAAGGUCUUUAGGUAAAAUAAUAUGCCAAUUUUGAAACGUUUUGCCUAAGGUUCAUUUGAUAGAACUUGGAUUUUGAUGGAAAUGUAACUUUAAUGCAUAAACCGAGUUUUCAAAGAUGCAUGAAAUGAUAUGAAAAUCUUAAGUGCACCCAUGCAUUCAUCUUACAUAUGUUUCAUAUGAUUAAAAGGUCUUUCAAAAGUCUUGAUCUUGCAUCCAUUAGGUCAUUUGAUGAAUUUCCAAAUUAGCACUUGAAAUUCUUUAUAAUUCAAACAAAUUAGUAACUUAACCAUGGUUUUUAUCAUCAAAACAUAAUUAGGAGAACCCUUGGGCUAACAAUCUCCUAUUUUUUAUGAUGACAAACCUUGGUUAUCAAGGAGAAGAAGAAUCUCCCCUUCAAACCAAUGAUGGAUCAACAAUCAAUAUUUAAGAACUUAAAACCAAAAUGAUCAAGACAUAUUAGAGAGAAAUUGAAACAAGAAACAAUGUAAGUCAUCAAAUAUAUAGGCAUAUCAUAUAUCAUAAGUCAAAUGUAUCAAUGUUCAAUAUGUACGAUCCAAAAAAAAAUAAUAAUAAUGCAUGUGUGAGUCUCCUAUAUCUAGCCUCCUAGAUCCUAAAAUAUCUUCCCUUUUUGGCAACAUCAAAAAGGAAGAAAGGGGGUGUCUAAUGAAUCAAGGUUGAGGAGGUGGAUAUGGAAACACCGAACCCAAAUAGGUCAUCAUCUUCUCAUGUCGAUGUUCCAAGCGAUCCUCAAUACGCUAAAUCCUCUACUGGAGAUACUCAAAUUGUGAAGUGAAGCCAACCUGACACUGAUCCAUACAAUCCUCCAUGGAAUAGAAAUACGUAUCACUAACCACAACAAGCUUCUCCAUGCGAGUGCCAAGAGAGUUGAUUUGAGUAGAAAUCCAUCCAUGGAGUAUGGUCAGGAGCAAGGGUGCUUGAGGAGGUGGUAUCUUAGUAUGGGUAGGCUCGGUGAAUGUAGGUCCAAAGCAGGAAGGCUCAGUGUUUAACAACAAAGUAGAUGGAUCCUCUAUAAAAGUCGGCUUAGUCAUCAUUGGCUCAUAUAAGACAGUCUCAAACUGAACACCCUUUGUCUGGAGUAGAGGAAUGUCAAGCUCGAGUCAUCUCUUCUUAUAGUCACUCUGAAGGUCUACUCCAUCUUCCAUCUCUCGAAUCUUUGUCUCCUUCUCAACUCCAGGAUGUGCCUGACCUUGUCCUUGUCCUCGAGCCUGUGUUAGUGUUCUCUUUGCUUUUCUCACCCAAGAGCCAUCUAGGGCUUUCUCAAAUUUCAUCAUCCCCAUGGAUUGAUCAUCAUAUGUAUCAUAUGUAUUGGGGCCUCAAAAUCCGUCUCUCAACUUAGGUCAAUGUCAGCAUCCUUUAAUACUUCGGUAAGGAAGCGGCCAUAGGGGAAUACAAAAGUCGUGCUCUCGCAACAUGCAAUCAUGAACAUCAUCAUCAAAUAUCCCAAAUGGAUCUGUCUCCCAGUCAGAAUGGAAUCUAUAAGGAAUGCCUCAUAAUAAGAGACCUCAUCUCGGUGUCCACCCUGUGGUAGUGUAGUACUCUACUGAUAACCGUCAAGUUAUGUGUUGAGGGUUUACCCAUCCCGUGGGCAUCUAGAAGUCCAUAAAUCUUCUUAAUAGCCUCUCUAGGCUCAAAUCCAGGCAUAGUGGGCCAUAUCUUGGACUCGUAUACUCUGAGUCCAAUCGGAGCAAUAUCAAAGAUACGAUAGAUGCUCUCCGAAUCCAAAGAAUUUUCAACUCCUCUAAUAGUAGAAGUGAUCAGGCUACCCAUGUCGUAAGUCGUCCUUGAGUAGAAUGCUUGCACUAACGUCGGAAAAACUAGCUCAGAAACAGUAACAACAGACAACCAACCCAUCCUUGUGAAUAAUCCCUCAAAUUCGAAGUGUUGAAGUUGAGAAAAAUUAAUGUUUCUCCCGGGAACUACUCGUCUUUGAGCAAAAUGUUGCUUGUAUCGCUGGUAGUCCUCCAUAGUACGGAAGAAGGUGGUGUUAAAUUGAGCCUUUCAACAUGUCUCUAGCAAAGAUAGCUCAGUUGGGCACUUACCCAGUGCCCUGGAGCUUGCAAGCUCUUGCCUGGAGGCCAUAAAAGAUGGAGACAGAGCAAGAUGAAGAGAAAGAAUUGGUAGAAGCUCACACCUGAAAUCCUGACGAACGAAAAUGGAGAGGGAUCUAUGCUAGAGCUGACUGUGACGCACCUAAGGAAAAAAAAACCACCCAAAAUGGAAACCCUAGCCUUCAAAGUCUUCAAAACUCUCCCAAAAUCAGGUCAAUUGGUACAAAACACAUUGAAAUCGAUCUCUAGAAGCCAAAACCAGAAAAACCCUGAAGAACGGAGGAGAACAAUGUAGAAAAAGGAGCAUGAGAGCCUCUUAAAAAUUCCUAGCCCUGACGAAGUAGUAGACCAGUCCACAAUCGGUCGACCACCUAGUCGACGCGGUCAAUGAUUUUAACUUUCCAAUUUUUGCAUACUUUUUCAUUUUGUGAUUCUCCCCCUGCCCUUUUUAGUUGAAAUCCCCAAUUUUUUAUCCCAAUGCCAAGGGAAUUUUGAUUUUUGAUAAAAAAAAAUUGAUCAUUAUCUAAGUAUAUGUCUAUAUGAUGCAUAUGACAUGAAAUUUAUGCAAUAAGAAGGCAUUUUCAUCAAGAAUUCAUUAAGCAAACAUUAUAUCAUAAUGAAAUCACCCCUAGUUGGCUUCUAAUAUCAACAAAUUGUUCUUCACUUAGAGGUUUUGUAAAAAUAUUGACAAGUUGAUCUUUAGUGCUUACAAAUUCAAGUAUUAUGUCACCCUUUUGUGCAUGAUCUCUAAGAAAGUGAUGUCUAAUCUCUAUAUGCUUAGUCCUAGAGUGUUGCACAAGAUUUUUUUGAUAUACUUAUGGCACUAGUGUUUUCACAUUUAAUGGGAACAUGCUCAAAAGAUAAAUCAAAAUCACUAAGUGUUUGUUUCAUCCCAAGGAUUUGUGCACAACAUAAAUUGGAUGCUAUGUAUUCAACUUCCGUCGUUGACAAAGCUACCGAAUUUUACUUCUUACUAUGCCAUGAAACAAAUGAGUGUCCUAAGAAAUGACAAGUGCCACUAGUGUUUUUUCUUUCAUCCUUACAAUCGGUAAAAUCAUCACCCAAAAAACCAAUUAAUUCAAAGUUAUCACUCUUAGGAUACCAUAAGCCUAUGUCCAUUGUCCCUUUCAAAUACUUGAGGAUCCUUUUUAUGACACUUAAGUGAGAUUAUUUAUGAUAAGAUUGAAAUCUAGCACACAAGCAUACACUAUACAUAAUAUCGGGUCUACUAGCAGUCAAGUAUAACAAAGAACCUAUCAUGCCUCUAUAUACAAUAGAGUCAAUAGAUUUACCUUUCUCAUUCUUAUCAAGUUUGAUGAUGAGCUCAUUGGAGUCUUCAUUGUUUUGACUUCCUCCAUGUUAAACCUUUUGAAAAUAUCUCUUAUAUACUUUGCUUGAUUGAUGAAGGUUCCUUCCUCUAGUUGCUUGAUUCGAAGUCCAAUGAGUGAUCUAUUUGUUCUUGUGUGUAGCCUUGCUUCUUGACUGAUUGAGUAAACUUAUCAAACUAGGCCCUUAGUUAUUAUUUAAGGUCGUAUAAAGACUUUCUUAGUUUGCACACCUUUGAAUCGUAGUUUCCAUCAAAUCCUGGAAGAGAGUCCAUGUACAUUUUUUUUUCUAAAUCUCCAUUUAGGAAUGUGCUCUUAAUGUUUGAUUAUUGGAGUGUCUAAUAUAAAUUUAUUGCAAUUGAUAGGAGUACUUAUAUCGCAUUCAACUUAGCAACUGGUGCAAAAGUCUUAGAGUAGUCCACACCAUAGGUUUGGGUAAACCCUUUUGCCACUAGUCGAGCUUUGUAUCUUUCCAAGGUGUCAUCUGCAUCAUACUUGAUUGUAAAAACUCAUUUGCAGCCAACUGUUUUCUCUCCUUUGGGCAGAUCAACUACUUCCCAAGUCUCAUUUUUAUUAAGAGCCCUCAUUAUGGUGACAAAUUUUCAUAAGAUAUGAAGUUAGGCAUAGGAUGCUUUCUGCAAGUUUUGAAACCUUUACGAAAAGUAAUAGAAACAUCUAAAUUUUUUAUUGACUCAAACUUGAACUUAGAAAGGCUUGACACCAAAGGAAGUUUACAUGACAACUCAUCUGAGUAACUAGUAAAGUUUUGAUUUGUACCUGGGUUAGACUCAUGGAGUUGUUGCAAAGUUGAAUAUUCUUUUUUUUGAAGAUGUUUCUUCCUUGAAUAGACAUGAAGCUCAUAUUCUGUUUUACUUGUUUUUUCUUUCAUUUCCAUUUUUUCAUGCUUGUGUAACGACAUUAAAGGAUUGGUUCCAUUAAUUUCAUCUUGUAAACUACCUGAGUCUUGAUCUAUGGUUGUAGUGUUUUAAUUCAAGUGUUGAUCUAUGGUUAUAGUGUUUUGGUUUAAGUGUUGAUCUGUGGCUACAAUGUUUCGAUUUAGGUACUGAUUUAUGGUUGUAAUGUCUUGAUUUUCUAGAGCUGAAGGAAUAGGGUGAUCAAGGUAAAUUCAACUAAAAUUGGUGGUUUUGGUUCUAUUUGGAAAACAUCCCCAACACAAAAAUCUUCACUCUCACUCUCCCAUUGAAAAUGAUUAUUAUCAAAAUAUGAGAUUGUCUCAAAGAAAGUCACAUUCAUACACAAACAAUAUUCUUGAAAUUGGGUCAAAACAUUUAUAUCCUUUCAGUGUUGGUGAGUAGCCAACAAAGACACAUUUCCUAACUUUAGGAUCAAGUUUCCUACGAUUGUGGCUAUGAAUAUGGACAAAUGUAGUGCAUAAAAUUUUUUCUAGUGAAAUAUUAGUGACAAGACAUAACGUGAACAAUUUUUAAAAGCAUUCAUAUGUUUUUGAAAAUGCAAAACUCUUAUUAGCAUUCACUUAAUAAAAAAUGUAGUUGUAAGAACAGCUUCACCACAUAAAUAUUUAGGUGUCUUAGUUGAAAAAAGCAAGGCUCUAGCAAUUUAAAAAAGAUGCUAUUUUUUUCUUUCAACUACUCCAUUUUGUUGUGGAGUGUCAUUACAAGAACUUUGACGAACAAUUUUUUUUUAUUCAAAAAAAUUCCCUAAUAUUUUAUUAAAUUAUUCCUUUCCAUUGUCACUUCUAAACAUUUGAAUUUUUUCUUGGAAUUGUGUUUGUACCAUAUUGAAUUUUUUUUUGAAAACUUGUUCAACAUCAUAUUUUUCUCUUAACAAAUACACUCAUGUUAUCUUUGUAUGAUCAUCAAUGAAUGUAAUGAACCAUUUUUUUCUUGAAAGUGUAGUAACUGUAGCAGGGCCCUAAACAUCGCUAUGAAUGAUAAAAAAAGGUUUGGAGUAUUUAUUUGGUUGUAGAGGAAAAAGAGAACGGUGGUGUUUUACCAAUUCACAAAUUUCACAUUGAAAUGAAGAUAGAUUUUUAUUUAGGAAUAGAUUCGAAAACAAGUACUUUAGAAUCCUGAAAGUUUGGAUGUCCUAACCUAAAAUGUUAUAACAUAAUCUUAUUCAUACGAGCAACAAAAAGAUAUUUGAAACAAGUACCAUGAGCUUGUCCUUCUAAUUCAAAUCCACCUUCAAAGAAAUAGAGUCCUCCACUUUGCUUAGUACUGCAAAUCAUCUUCCUCGAGUCCAAAUCCUGAAACAUAUAAGAAGAAUGGAAAAAAAUGAGCCUGACAUUUUAGAUCAUGAGUUAUUUUAUUAAUAGAAAAAAGAUUACAUGACAAGUUAAGAACAUGAAAGACAUUAUGCAGAAUAAUGGAAGAAGAAAUAACAAUUGAUCCUUUCCUAGCUAUGGCUGAGAAAGAUCCAUCUGCUAUUUUUAUUUUUUGGUUCCCCAUACAAGGAUUAUAUGAGGGAAAUAAUUUAGAAGAUUUGGUCAUAUGGUCAAUUGCUCCUGAGUUUAUAAUCCAUGGGCAAUUAAAAUUGGGUUUGACAUUAUAGAGGGAAGUGGUAAGGUAGUUUACCUUUCUAGGCUAUAGAACAUAAGGAAGAAGGAUUUAUAGUAGGACUCGAGGACUGGAACAAUUUACACAAGUUGUUUAUUUUUCCUUCGUCAAUGGAAGUUGAUUUGAAAAAACUUGGUUCCCUUGAUCUUCAUUUGAGACUUGGAAUGCACGACCAUCUCCCACAUUAUUCUUUUUCCAAUUCGAAGGCUUCCCAUGUAGCUUCCAACAUGUCUCACGCGUAUGCCAUGGCUUCUUACAAUGAUCACACCAUGGUUUUUCUCCUUGAUUGAAGUUUCUUUUUUCCACAUCUGCUUUUGGUCAUUUUGUUAUGAGAGUUGAACUCUUAGUUUCAGGGUUGGUCUUUGGUUCUUGCUUAUGUAGGAUGAUUCUUUGGUCAGACUCUUCUCUCCUGAUCUUUGAGAAUACUUCUCAAAGACUAGGGUGAGGUUUUCAUCCUAGAAUUCAGUCUCGCACUUCAUCUAAUUCUCUGUUAAGACCUACUAGGAAUAUAUACACCCUGUCAUCUUCCUUCCUCUUCAUAUAUUGCAUACUAUCAAUGGGAGAAUCCCAUUUCUCUUCAUAGCAUUGAUCUAACUCUUGCCACAAAGUUACCAUUUCAUUAUAGUACACAACAACUUCUCUAUUUCCUUGUGUAGACUACCACAACUUAGUCUUCAAUUCAAAUAUUUGAGAUGAAUUCUCCAUAUCUGAAUAAGUGUCACGAACAACAUCCCACACUUCUUUUGCUAUUGGAAUGAACAUAAAUGACUUUCCAAUACUCGACUCCAUCGAGUUGAUGAGCCAUGCUAUUACCCUGGAGUUUUCAGAUCUCCAACUCUUCAGGCGUGGAUCAUUGUUUGUUGGUUUUUUCACCUCACCGAUCAAGUGACCAAGCUUCCCUUUUUCGUCAAUUAUGAGCUCCACUGUUUGAGCCCAUUCCAAGUAGACAGUCAAUUCAAGGGAAUUUGAUGAAACAAUAGACAAGUGUUCUGCUUCAUUAGAUAGUGCAGCAAAGUUGCUUUGAAUGCUCUCUAUUGCAUCCCUUGUAGUUGCUGAGCCUCUACCAGCUCCAGCCAUAGCAAUUUUCACCAUAAAAAACUUUGAUUACACCAAAGCUUUGAUACCAUGAAAAUUUUGAAAGGGAAAAUUUUUUUUCUUUUUUUUUUUGAAAAAUUGAAAUUUGAAACUGAUUACAUCAAAUAAAUAGACUCAACAAGAGUUGAGGUCUGCCACAAAUUUCUCAACUGCAUUAGCUAACAAAACAAAACAACUAACUCCUAAAAAUAUGGAAACAAACAAAUUUCUUUAUCUUAAAUAAUUCAAAUUUAAAAUUCCAAUUUUAUUAAAUAGAAAAAAGAAAGUAGAACUCUUAACUUUUAGCUCCAGCUAACUCCUAACAUUUCAACAUUAAUAAUAUUUAAAUUAUAUAUUUAUGACGUUACCAGUUUAACUAGGAUUGAAUCGCUGGUUCGACAAAUGAAUUGUGAACUAAUAAUUUUUCUAGUUCAAUGAAUACUAUGAUCUUAAAAACAAUGAAAAAAAUUAUUGUGCAUAUUGAGAAGCUACAUAUCUAUUAUAAAAUAAAAAUUAUUCACAAAUAGAAUAUAUGAAAACAAGAAAAUAAGAACCUAUUUAGCUUAGUUUUUAAAAUAGUUUUCUGUUUUUAAAAACAGAAAAUAGUUUUAAAAAUUCGUAACACUGUUUGGUUAUUGUUCUCUAUUACCAGUUUUUAAAAACAAAGUGAAAUAAAGAACAACUUUUAGAAAACAAGUAAAAAUUGUUUUCACUAGUUUUUAAAAACAAUGGAAAGACAUAUACACUCUAUUAUUUCUCUUCUACAUUUAUUUUUCAAUUUUUUUUUGCUAAGCAAAUUAACUCCAAAUUAAACAAAACUUAAUGCGUUGGAUUUGUUAACAAGUCUAUUAAUUUUUAAAAAUAAUUUAAAACUUAAAUACUAAACUCAUUAAUACUAGAAAUUUAUUAAUAUAAUAAAAUAUCUGUUUUCAAACAUAUAAUAAAAUAGUAUAUUUUCUACUAAAAAUAUAAUUUAUGAUUUUAUUAUAAUAUUACUAUUUAUGUUUUACUAAAAAAUAUAUAUAUUUUAAUUUAUUUAUAAUUAAAAAAUUAUUUCAUUUUCAAUAAGACUUCAAUUAAAUUUAAUUAAUUAAUAUUAUAUAAAUUGAAUUUAAAAUGUUUUUUUUUUAAAAAAAAAACAAUUUAUCCGAAUAGGCCUUAAUAUUCUACUUGGAAGCAAUGCUAAAAUUAUAUUUAUCAUAGCUAGAAAUUGCAUAAUUAUUUGACUAUUUUUCUUGUUUAAUUAUUAUUAGUUAAUAUUGUGAUUUUUUUUUGUAUAAUGUUUUAUUUCCAGCUUAGAGUAUGUUACUUUAAUUAGAUUAUAUAUAACUUUCAAAUAAUGUUAAACUUCACUAAACUUAAAUAUAUUGCUCUUGAUAUUUCAAGGAAAAAAAAAACUAUUUAGUUUGGAUACUCAACAUGAGAUUCAUCCAAAUAUUAUGAUUCUUGGUUUAACCAUUAAUAAAGGAAAUAAUAUACCCUCUCUAGGAUCAUUCAAAAGCUUUGAUAUUCCUUUGUUAUCAUACUGAUGAGGGAUUGAAAAGUUAGUACAUCAUAAUAAAGGACUUUUUCACUUUUAGGAAUAAAUUGAAAAGAAAAUAUGACCAUUAAAAGAUUAGUAAUCUCUUGAAAGCUUGUUAUAAGUGCACUUAAAACUAAAAGAUUUCAAAUUUAUUGGUGAAUAUAACUAUGUUUGAUUUUAAAUUAAGUUCCAAAUAAAGUUAUAUGAAGGAAAAAUAAUUGAAAAUGACAUAUUGAUGGUCACAAUGAUUGCUUGAUGUCUAACUAUCCCAAAUUCAUAAAACCAUAUUACACUAGACAUUUGUUCGAACCAAAACAAUUUAGAAUGAAAAACUAUGCGACAUAACUUUCUUAAUAUCGACCCACAUGGACUCAUAUGAAUAAGCCAACAAAAUUAAGGUAAAUUAUCUCAAUUUAAGCUCUGAAUCUAAAAUAUCAAUGGUAAAUUUCUUAAAUGGGAUUAAUUAGUUUCACUACAUGUCAUCCUUGUUUUCUAAUAAAAAUAAUUGGUCCUUGCAAAAAAUGAAAGUCGGUUGAUAGAAAAAUCUUCCAUAUGAGAUGAGUUUGAAGAAUUAACUUUAUCCUCUUAAAUCAUUAAAUGAAAAACAAAAGGUCCAGUUUUGAUAUCAAUUGAAAAGUAAGGCUAAGAAAAACACUUGAGAGUGGGAGAGAAGGGAGGUUGAAUUGGAUGACUAAAACCUUUUGAAAAAUAGUUAAAUUAAAAAUACAAAUCACCUAAUCGCAAAUGCAGUAAAUUAAAAAGCAAAGAGAAGAGGAAUGCAAAUGCUUUUUAUAAUGUUUUGAUAACCUGUCUACGUCCACUCUUCUCAAUCUCUUAAUCAAGUGAAUGUUUCACUAUCCAAGGCUUCAACCUAAUCCUUCAAUCUUUAACACUUGGAUUCAUUAGAUCCAAUGUACAUUAUAAUCCCUUCAAGUUUUCAACCAAAUUGAAGUCUCAACCACUUAAAGAGAAUAUGAGAAUUUAAUAUUCUUAUCCUAGUAAAAAUUCAGUUCAAUACAAAGAAAAGAUUAUGAUCGAUUUCAAAUGGUGCACUAAAGGAUUAGCAAGUGAAGGAUUCAAUGCACUCAAGUGAAAAGCUUUAAAAGAGAGAAAGUAUAUGAAAAACAAUUCAAUGCAAGUAUUAUCUUUUCUAUAAUGUAAGAGAGCUAUUCAAUUUAUAGAAAAGUAGGUGGGGUACCUAAAACAACAAAAAAGUCGUUGGCCGAUUGAGCUUUGACUUGGCUGGUCAACUAGUCAUUGGUGAAAUUAACAUUUUAUAGGUGAUCAUUGGUGUUUUUAAUGUUCAACUAGACCUUGACUAGACCUCGGUCGACCAGACACCAACUACUAGAAAAGAGAGAAAAUUUUGUGCAAGCAUGACUAUUUCUCAAUUGGGAUAGUCUAAUAAGUUGAACUAGUUCCUUAAUCGAUUAGACUAGUUUAGGGCACUCUUGACCGAUUGCACAAAAAACUACCAAAAAUGCUUAUGUUUUAAGUUUUAAUCUUUCAAUAACUUAAGCAUUUCAUUUAGACACCUUUAUAAGAUGGUUUUUUUUUCCUUAAGAGUUUAAUCUAAGGUUUUGAAGUAAAACACACAUUCAUUCAAUUUAAUGAUAAAAUGUCACUUUUAAGUUUAUAUGAGGAUGAUAAAAAAUAUUUGGAAGUGCAUAAACAUAUUCUAUCCUAAGUGCACUGAUGGGAUUUUACAUAUGGUCUUAGACAACUUAAGUCUUCAAGGAUCCAUUCUUCAUGACUUUCGAAUCUCUUAUAAGAAUAUUCAAGUUUUCUUUUGAAUUUAUUAAUAAAACUUGAAAACUUCACUUGUGUCAUGACUUCACUCAAUUACUAUGUUGUAUUGUCUCUUAGCCUUAAGAGAAUAUUGAUCUUGUGUUAAAGUUAGCAAUGACUUUGACCUACAAGUGAGAUUCUAAAGUGAUCAAAUAUUCCAUAUGGAUUGGGUCAUUAUUGAUAGAAAUUGUAGGAUCUCAAGCACUACCAACUCUCCUAAAAGCAAUUACUGUCAAGAAAUGCGUAUACUCUAACCUUAUAGUGCAUUCACCCAAACGCCCAUGACAUUUGAGUACAAGGGAAAUUGAUAAACGCGAUCAACCCUUCGAUCUAUCAACAAUCUCCCCCCUAACGACACCCUUGGGUUUCGAACUCGUGACCUUGACUCUAAUACCACUUGUAGGACCUCAAGUGCUAUCAAUGUUCCUAAAAUCAAUUGCUGUCAGGAAAUGCACAUACCUUAGCCUUAUAGUACAUUCACUUAAGUGCCCACAACAUUUGAACACAAUGAGAGUUGAUGGGCACGACCAAACCUCCGGUCUACCAACAGAAGCUAAUAGCAACAAGUAUUCUCAAUGGAGGUACCAUAAUAUCUCAUGGACUUUAAGACAAUGUAUCCUUUUGGAUGAUCUAAAGGACGUGUAUUUAGGUAAGCUAUGGUCAUAGUAGUUUUUAAUUUGGAACUUGACAUAAGCUCUGUUUGAUGUAGGACUUAUCAAUUAAUAACAAAUAGGAGUAUUUGUAACUCAAAGCUAGUAUAAGAAAUCUUGAGAGGUUGAUAAUUUUCACCUUGUUAGAUUACGCACACCAAUUCAUAGGAAGACCAUACAUAGUGGAUGGCAAGUCAUAGACUUGAGCAUUUAGUGUUUCCUUGUAAUAUACAUAGGGUAUUGAAUAUAGUUGACUCUUUAUAAUGGGUUGAUGAGUUAGCUACAAGAUUAGAUUUUGAGAGAGCCAAUACUAUCCUAUGGGUCUAUUAGGACCUUGUUCAAACUUAUAUACCUUGAUGGCAUGGUUUAUGAGGGUUGGAUUGAUUGUUUGUUCACUUAUAUGCAUAAAGGCUUUUUAGUAAUUGUGUAAGGUUGUAUAGGGGUUGGUGAGUGACAUCUCUAGAAUGGGCUAAUUGAUUAAUUAUAGCCCUGAUGGGUCAGUUAAUCAAUUAAAACCUUUUCUGGGCUAGAUUCCUAAGCCCAAGAUGUGUUUAAGUAAUUUAAACCUAGUAGGAACCUUAUAAAUACCCCUUAUGGGGUUAGGGUUUUAGUCUUCAACCUCCAUUCUCCUUGCAUUCCAAAGAAAGUCAUAACCUCCACCUUCUAGACUUUUACAUCAUAUUCUACUUUCAAAUUAUUGACAUUCUUUACCACAAUGAUUAAUCUGGGAACAUCCAAAUCUAGGUAAGUUCUCUAAUAUCAUUUUAUAGAUUCUAAAAUUGUUUGUAAAUGCAUAUUUUUCAUUAUGCUUAGGAUUUAGAUAAGCUUAAGGAGAAUUGCAUGCGCCUAACCUGGUUCUAGGAUAAGAAAUGGAGUAAUUCCAUAUUUCCUACAUAAUAUGCAUGUCAUUUUGCCAAAUCAAGAUCAAAAUCAAAAUAAAUUGCUUCUAUUAUAUAUAUAUUCAAGUAAAUGUUACCUUGGCCUUUGAUUAUACCCAAGAAUAGGAAUAUGUUCUGAUUGGAUUGAAAUCAAGACCAUGGAACUCAAAAAAGAUAUUAAUAAAGAAUGUAUUCUAGAAAAGUAUACCCACAUUUUUUCCAUGAAAACUAAUACAAAUCAAGAUUCUUACCGAUUGAUUUGAUUAUGUCUUGAGAAUAAUACAUGAUAUGAGGUACAAAAUUAAGAAUAUCUACGGUGCAUGUCUCUCUAAAGAAUGAGUUAGAAAGAAACAUUUAUAGAAAGGUAGAAUUAUGAUUUGAAAAUUGGUGGAGUGUAGUCACCAAGAGACAAGUGUCGUUUCUACAUGUCUGCAUUGUUAGCAUUAAUAUAAGCAUGAUAAAUCAUUUUUCCAUUAGAAACCCAAGGAAAACAAAGUGAAGCUAAGAUAAUUUAAUUAUUAGUAGGGUUUUCUUCCUCUUUUUCUCAUCCUUUCACAUAGCUUCUCUGCUUAGCAUUCACUACUGAAAGAUCAGAGUAUUGCCAAUUUACUUUUGUGAUGGAUUUAUGACAUCGCAAAUUUUUAACACACACCCUCUAUCAUAAAUUGAAUUAAUCGUUGCUUAUAUAAUUUCUUAUCAAUAGUAAUUACAAUAGUAAAUAUCCAUUAGAAAAAGUAUAGUAUUCUAAAGAAUUUAAGCCAUUGUAAAUCGAUUAACAUACUUUAUUAUAAAAGAAAUUUACUAUAAAAAAAAUAAAUGACUUUUCACAAACAAGUCUUUUAAUGAAAAUUAUUGUUAAAAAAAAUAAUGUUAUUAUAAUCUAUACCAGCUAAUACAAAUACCGAUAUACAUAAUUUGUUUUGAAAAUAAUUUUUAUCCUAUGGAUAUGAAUUCUUUUAAUAUAUAUAUAUAUAUAUAUAUAUCUGACAAGUGACUAGACAAUAUAAUGAUGUUUGUUUUUUCAAUUUCAUACAAUAUCAAUGAAUACCGAUUUAUAACAUAAAAUAUUUUUUAAUCAAAAUAUUUUUAAUAUUUUCAUAGCUACUUUUUUUAGAAGAAAUUAUUUAAAAUAUUAAUAUAUUUGAAAUAUUUUUAGAAUAUAAAUAAAGUCUUUUUGUAUGAUAUUGAUAAUAUAUUUUAUUUAUAUUCUAUUCUUAUAUUUUGUAAAUUUAAGAAAAAAUUACAAUUUUUUUAAUUUUUUGAUACUUCAUUCUUAUAUAAAAGUGUAAUUAUUUGGAAUUUUUUUCAUCUAAUUUUUGAUGAAAAAUCUUUAAAAAGAAGUCAUUUGACAUUAUGAUAUAAUUUAGAGUUAAUAUUUCUUACAAAAUAAUUAAAAAAUCUAAUGACUAAAUUAAGCUAUAAAUAAAAAAUAAAUAAAAAAAUACAAGAAUGAUUAUUAUUAUUAUUUUAGAGAAUGAGAAACAUUUUUUUUGACAUUUACGACGGGUCAUAUACUUACAUUAGUAUAUUCAUUGGGCUGGGAGCUGAAUCCUUUGGAGGAUUGGCAAGGAAUAGUUGAAAACAUGAUUGAGAGAGUUUGGAGGAUUGAUAAGGCCGGAGUAGUUGAAAAGUUGGCGACAGAGUUUUCAGAUGUUUAAAGAAAGAGUUUAAUUAACUGUAGAUUUAACUUUAUGCAUGUUGUAUGAAUAUAUUCUCAAAACAAUAUUCGAACUUUUCAGCUUAUAUUUUUGGAAGUUUGCUUUGGAUUAUUGGUGAUGUGAUCAGAACGUCCCCAGGCUAUUAUGCCAAUGUUGACUCCGGGUCAGAAAGGUGGCCGACUUUUGGAGGAAGUGAGAAAAACGAAGUAGUUAAAGAGUGAGACGAGAGUUCCCACCUACUAACUAUAAUGUAGUGGUGAAAAUCAGUGAGCUAUUUCCACCGACAAGAUCAAGGUUAUGUUUGGUAUUUUUUUUUAAAUGGUUUUUGAAAAUAAUUUUUAUUAUUUUAAGGUAUAAUUUUAUUUGAAUUUUAAGGUUUUGUUUGACAAUUUUUUUUAAAUAGAUUUUGAAAAUAAUAUUUAAUUAUUAUCAUUUAAUUAUAUUAUUAUUAUAUUUGGUUUGAAGUGCAUAAAAUUUUAAUUAUUUUUACCAUUUUUUAAUUAAUUACAGAUAAAUUUAUAUUUCAUAUAAAAGAUAGGAUAUUUUUACAUACUACGACAAAAAAAGCCUGUACAAUUACAAGAAAAUCCAUACCGAAACCGAUUCAAGGUUAAACCUUUGUCUUUCACUUGUCAUGGUUAUACGGGGCAAGGUUGAAGUGUACAAAAAUAGAUUUUUUGGUGUGAUUUAAAAAAAAAAUGUUUGUCUAAAGUUAAAAUAAUUCUUAUUUUUAAAAAAAUGACUUUUAAUCAAGGAUAAAAAUAUCGGCAAUCACGGAUAUAUCAGUACUUCGAUUUUACGGAUAUAUUGACGGAUAUUUUGGAAAAAAAUUUAGUAGGCCUAAAAUUGUUAAAAACCCAUGGAAAUACAAGAAAAACCUCAUAAUAAUAUAAUUAGAAGUAUAAUAAACAUUUUAAAGUUGUUUUAUUAAAGAAUUUGAUAUAUAUAUAUAUAUAUAUAUAUAUAUAUAUAUAUAUAUAUAUAUAAAUGAUAUAAUUUGUGAUAUUAGAUGUAAUUAUAUCAUGUCGAUCUAUAAGAAAUGUUAAUUUUGUAUUUGUACACUCAUUAUGAAGUCACAUAAAAUACUUCAUUUCAUUAAAUAUCAAUAAUUUGUACAUAUUACAUUGCAAUGUCUCUUUAGUACCAAAAUGAGGAUCGAUGUGGUUCAAUGGGAUUGGUAGAUGAAGGAACCUCGUCUUGUUGUUAGAGACAAUAUUGGUACCAACUCAACGGCUCGAUAAUAUUGGUUAAAAAUUCUAACAUGCCAUGCAUAUAUCUCUUGAGUCAUGCCCACUGCCUCUACAUGGAUAAGAUACUCAAAGUUCACCCAUGUGUUAAUGUCAAAUCCUCCUUCCAUCUGAUAUGGAACUUGGUAUCACAUUUGUGUGGAAGGGGAGCAACGCAGCAUACCAUACUCUUCAUUGGUUGAACUCGAAGGUUGACCAUAACUCAUCACAUGAAGAGGGUAGACGUUAGCCUCAUUCGAGGAGUCACUAAAUUGAGUCCUUGUACUCAUAGAUUCAAAACUCCCUAAAAGUAACUCCUCGUUAUAUGCUUCCAUUGUUCGUUCUCUUCCUUUAUGGGGCUUCCCAAUAACUCCUAUGCUUGGAUUAGCUCUUCUAGAGCCAUGGUCUUCAUCUAGUGUGCAAUGUGUGAAAUCAUUUUCACAGGUAAAUUAGCUAAUUGGAUAUUGACUUUGUUGACAUUCCCAAAUAUCUCCUCCCGCAUUAUCACCUCCAUCAUCAGUUCCUCUUCUUGAACCAUCAUAACCAGAAGUAGAAGUACCUACAACACUAGGUCUACUACUAUGGCCAACACUUGUGGAUUCAACCUCUUGGUGGGAAUUCAAUGCUGCCUGAAAUGAAUCAUCACUAUCUUUGCUAAAACUUUUAGAGUGAACUUUUUCGGACAACACACGUUCAACAUUAACUCCAAAUUCUCGAGCAUGAGCGACAAUUCAUGGAUCAGGAUUUCUAACUUUGUCAUCCAAGUGUAUAGGCCUAACCCAUUGGAACAACUAAUUAUCUUCUUCUUCACCCAUCUUGGUUGAAAUGUUAAGAAAAUCAAGGUAAUCUUUUUCAGCAACUCAAUCAUUUUCUACCUCCAUAUCGCGUAACUUUAGCCUCAUAUUAUAGUAACAAAAAACUAAUUGCUCCAAUCGAAGCUAAGCCAAACGAUUUCGUUGCUUUGUAUGGAUGAGAACGAACGUGCUCCAAUUUCUCUCACAGGCAGAAGAUGACGUAGUUUUAUGAGAGAACUUUGAUGGAUAACUUUCUCAAUGCAUGUGUUUGAUUCCCAUACAUGAACCACCAUUCAGUUGCAACCAAUUUGAUAAUUAUAUAAAUACUUAUGUGGUGAAUUUACAAUAAUUAUAAUCAAUUUUUUCCUAUAAAUACUCAUCGGGCACCAUGGUUGACCUUGCUGUAAUCGCUGCUCGAUCACCACAUCCCUUUUUUGCAUCUCGAAAAAGCACAAGUUAUGUAUUCAACAUUUAAUUUGUUAAUAUCAUAUUUGUUUAGUAAACAUUCAAAUAAAUUGAUGAAUAAAAUUAUUAUUUUAUUGACAAAAAUAACAGUUUUUUAUUUACCUCAUUUCCAAAUUGACCAAGCAAUUCAGUAGUUGGGUCUAAUUUUACAAAAACGUCAUAGACUGCUUGAAAUAGUUCUGGAUCACUACCAACUCCACGCUUAUAUUGAAAUCUUGGAUUUAAGAAGUAUGCUACAAUAAAAUUAAGUAUAUUUAGUAUUUUGUUAAAGAAAAUUAAAUACAAAGUAAAAACUUAUAAAGAUAGAUAGUACUUAAGUACUUGCUGCAUGAAGUGGAUGUUUUAGUGUUUUCUCCCAACGAUCUUUUAUUAUUUUGAAGAUCCAAUCUCUAGUUCUUUCAUGAAUAAGGUUCUCUUUCAUCAUGUGCAUAAGUUCGUACACAGUUGACAUCGUGGGAACAACUUUAGAAUCCAUAAGUCGAAGCACCACAUAUAAUGGCUCAUAUAAUGAAACUAUAUUUGCCACUCUGUCCCAAUGUGCAUGGUCAAACAAUAAUUGCUCUAAAUCUCAUCCAAUUUUUGUAUGAAUGAACUUAUGUUGUGCACAUUCAUCACUCAUAAACAAUUUUUUCAAAUCAACCAUUUUUUUAAGAAGAGUAUCAGGAGCAAUAUAAUUGGUAGCAAACCUUGUAGCUCUUGGUCGUAUAAUGUCUCCACCACAAUAAUUUCUCAUUUGUGCAAGUAACCAACCAUGGUUGUAAAUGAAGUUAGUUAUUUUGCGAGCAUUGUUUAUAACAUCUAUAACACUAGGUCUUUUACCAAUGUCUUCAAAGAUUAAGUCGAUGCAGUGCGCCGCACACGAAGUCUAAUAUAAGUUAAAUUUCUUCAUCAAUAGUUUCCCUGCUUUCACGAACGCCGACCUGUUAUCUAUGACAAUUUGGACCACAUUUUCUUAACCGACUUAUUUGAUAAUAAUCUUCAAUAGCUUGUAUAUAUACUUGUGGUUUUUGAUAUUGUUCGAUGCAUCAAUUGACUUAAGGAACACCGUGGUCCAUUUUGAAUAAACCAUGAAAUUAAUAAUACUUAAUUUUGUGGGCCCUGUCCAUCCAUCUGACAUUAUUGUGCACCCAUAUGUCUUCCAUUUUUCUCUUUGCUGGUUCACAUAAACUUCCAUUUCUUUGUACUCCAUUUCCAAGUACUUGUUAUUUAUUUCAUAUGGAGAUGGAGGUUCGAUUCCCAUUCUCGCACUUCAUAUAUAACAAAUAUAUAAAACAUGACACAAAAAACUAUACUUACUAGAAGUCUGAAACAAUAUAACAAUUCAAAAAUUAGUAAUUACCUGUUUGUUGUGCACCAAUAAUCAUAUUCUUGAAGUGAUGAGACUUUGCUUUUUGGGGUGUGAUGCUAUCAUAAAUGAAAAAUUUUCUAAUUAAGUGUCCCAUUGUUUCUUUAAUUAAACCACUGUUCAAUAUAUCUUUGAUAUUUUUUUGUCUUGCUGUAAAAGACUUAUAGAGUGAAGGGGCGAUAGGGGGUGAUUGGUUCGAAUGUUGCAUACUUUGUGAUUUCUAUAUCGUCAUCGAUGUACCAGUAGAUCGUGAAGACUUCCCCGUUUUACAUUUGUUUCCUACAAUAUUCUCAUAUUGUUGACAUUCCCAUUAUGUCGCUUUCGAGGCAUGAACUGCAAAUCGAUUUGCAUCCCACUCAUUUGGGUACAUAUCUGUCAGAUACAUACACACAUCUUCAUCCUUAGCAUCUUCAUCAUCAUUUUCAUCUAUUAGAUGUGUAUCACUAGCCCCCAUUGUGCCAUGUAAUUGAGCAUGAAUCUCUUGAAUAUCUGCAACUUUCUUUGCUUUCGCUUUAUUUUUGUCAUGCACCAUUAAUCGUAUCUCUUUUUUCACUUCGAGAGGCACUCUCAAACAAUUUUUGGUGUUGUUAUGCGGGUCGUUAUGCGUUAAAUGGAACUUGAAUCAUGUGAUACCUCCACUUUUCAUCAACAAACCACAGAAAUUACAAAUUGUCCCAUUUCUAUUCCCCUCUACUGGUGAACAAUACUUCCAAGUUGGAUCUCGCCUUGGCAUGGGAAGACCACCUCCACUAGCCAUGAUAAAUCUAUUGCAAAAAAAAUACACUUGAAUGUGAUUUCAAUGUAAACAAAAAUUAAGUAAUCAUUUAAAUUUAACAUGUUGCAAUGGGUGUGAAAAGAAAAUUAAAUAAUAAUGUAAAAUGAGCAUAUUCCAAAUAUACUAAUUUAUGCUAAUAGCUAAAUUAAUUAAAUAAUUUAACUAAGUUUACUAAAUCUAAAUCUAUGAGAAAUCUACAAAAUAUACUAAUUAAUUAUAAUUGAAUGUGAAAAUAAAGUUAAAUAAUCAUUUAAUAUGGAAAUUUUUUUGAAUCUAAAUCUAAAUGUAUGAAAAGUUUACUAAAUAUAAAAAUUAACUAUAAUUGAAGGUGAAAAUAAAUCACAAUAAUCAUAAAAAAUGAACAUAUUUGAUAUUUCAAAUAUACUAGUUCAUGUUAAUUAAAUUAAUUAAAUAAUUUAGCUAAGUUAUUUUUUUGAAUCUAAAUCUAAUUCUAUGAAAAAAUUACUAAAUAUAAAAAUUAACUAUAAUUGAAUGUGAAAAUAAAUCACAAUAAUCAUAAAAAAAUGAACAUAUUUGAUAUUCCAAAUAUACUUGUUCAUGUUAAUUAAAUUAAUUAAAUAAUUUAGCUAAGUUAAUUUUUUGAAUCUAAAUCUAAUUCUCUGAAAAAAUUACUGAAUAUAAAAAUUAACUAUAAAUUGAAUGUGAAAAUAAAUCACAAUAAUCAUAAAAAAUGAACAUAUUUGAUAUUCCAAAUAUACUAGUUCAUGAUAAUUAAAUUAAUUAAAUAAUUUAGCUAAAUUAAUUUUUUGAAUCUAAAUCUAACUCUAUGAAAAAUUUACUAAAUAUAAAAAUUAACUAUAAUUGAAUAUAAAAAUAAAUCACAAUAAUCAUAAAAAAUGAACAUAUUUGAUAUUCUAUAUAUACUAGUUCAUGUUAAUUAAAUUAAUCAAAUAAUUUAGUCAAGUUAAUUUUUUGAAUCUAAAUCUAAUUCUAUGAAAAAUUUACUAAAUAUAAAAAUUAACUAUAAUUGAAUGUGAAAAUAAAUCACAAUAAUCAUAAAAAAUGAAUAUAUAUGAUAUUCCAAAUAUACUAGUUCAUGUUAAUUAAAUAAUUUAACUAAGUUAAUUUUUUGAAUCUAAAUCUAAUUCUAAUGUUUACUAGUUGAAUCUAAUUCUAACUAGAUUGAAUGUGAAAAUAAAAUUAAAUAAUCAUUUAAAAUAAGCAAAUCCUUCUAUAAUUAAAUAAUCAAAUUAACCUAAAUUAAUUUAAUAAAAAUAUACAAAUUAAUUACAAUUGAAUGUAAAAAUAACAUUAAAUCAUCUAUAUUGAAAAUAUAUUAAUUAAAUACAAUUGAAAAAAAAAUUAAUUACAAUUAAAAACAAACAUGGAUGAAAUGAAUGCAAAAUGGGCUAUUUAUAGGAAAAUUUUGGGCCAAAAUAGCCAUUAAAAGAUGAUUUUACUGUUGAAAAACAAUUUUAGCCGUUGGAUCAAAAUCUAGGCGAAAUCUGACCGUUGGAUCAUGAUUUUACCGUUGGAAAAACAUCCCAGCCUUUGGAUCAAACCCAGAUUCAAUUUGGGGCGUCAGAUGCAUGAUCGUUGGAGGCGGACAUGAUUUGGGCCGUUGGAUCACGUUGAAGGCAGCAACAAAAAAUUGAUGAUUUUCCACCAUAUUUGCCGAUUUUUUGCUGAUAUUCUGCGAUAUUUCUCCCAUUCGAUAAAUCUCCAUGAAAUAUUGUGUCAACGGCCUCCGAUACACGAUAUAUCGACGAUAUAUCUCCGAUAUAUCCUGACAUUUUCUUCCAUGCUUUUAAUUGGUUCUUAUAUGUACAAUUACACAAACAUUCCCUCUAAUUUUAUGAAUUUAUGUCAUACCCCUUGAUAGGCUUGGCGUUGAUCAAUAUUGACGGUUGACCUAAUAACAUCAUGUCAUGAUUGAAAAUUUCAACAAAAUACCUAAAUAUAGUUAUUCUUAAUUAGAAUUUCUUAAUUUUAUUUAUAUAAAAAACCUAAUAAUACUUUUGUUUGUUAAAAUAUAAAUUCAUUCUAAUUAAUACCAAAUUAUUUGUUAGCCCAAUGGUUCUCCUAAUCAAGUUUUGAUGAUAACAAAACAUGUUUAAGUUACUAAUUAGUUUGAAUUAUAAAGAAUUUCAGACGUUAAUUUGGAAAUUCAUCAAAGAACCAAAUGGAUGCAAGAUCAAAACCUUUGGAAGACCUUUAAUAAUAGGAAAUAAAUGUAAGGUAAAUGCAUGGGUACACUUAGGUUUUACAUAUCAUUUCAUGCAUCUUUGAAAAAUUCGAUUUAUUCUUUAAAGUUAUAGUUUCAUCAAAACACGGUACUAUUUCCUUUUAACUAUUUUUCGUAAGUUAAUCAAUUCUUCAUAUUCCCUAUAUCUUCUUUCAAAACUUUUAAAAAACAUGACAGUAUAACAAAUUUUAAAUUCAUUAAUAAAUUUAUUUAUUUAUUUAUUUAUUUAUUUAUGAUUCUGGUUCCUUUUAUUAUCUCUUUUUACAUUAAUUCUUGGGACAUUUCCCAUUAAGUGAUUUGAAUGAAUCACUAAUUGUCCUUUCAUGAAGUUUCUCUUGAGUAAUCACCCUCAUAUCAUAUCAUUUUCAUUGCAUGAUUUAGGUGCAUUAUAAGUUGCACGAAAGAUCCAAGUCAUAGGUUCUUUGUAAGGUGAUAAGUGAUUCAUAAUUAGUUCAUGGAAUUGGGUAAUCUAGCAAAUACUAUAGUGCAUUAUCUCCUAAUUGGAGGGAUAACUUAUCUUGGUCAUCAGGAUGACUUUCCCAUGGUAAGUGCACUAGUGUGUAUGGUUACAUAUGAAAUAAAACCUAUAGUGAAUCAUAACUAUUUGGUAGUCAUAAUUCACCAGGCUACUAUACUAUGCAAACUCUCAACCUUGAAAAGAUAUUGAGCCUAUGUUGAAAUCAAUACAAAGUUUUGACCUAUAAGUGAGACCCUAA
rnacentral:lncRNA from 1 species